rnacentral:rRNA from 1 species
UGGGGAAUAUUGCACAAUGGGCGCAAGCCUGAUGCAGCCAUGCCGCGUGUAUGAAGAAGGCCUUCGGGGUUGUAAAAUGUACUUUCAGCGAGGAGGAAGGCGUUGUGGUUAAUAACCGCAACGAUUGACGUUACUCGCAGAAGAAGCACCGGCUAACUCCGUGCCAGCAGCCGCGGUAAUACGGAGGGUGCAAGCGUUAAUCGGAAUUACUGGGCGUAAAGCGCACGCAGGCGGUCUGUCAAGUCGGAUGUGAAAUCCCCGGGCUCAACCUGGGAACUGCAUCCGAAACUGGCAGGCCAGAGUCUUGUAGAGGGGGUAGAAUUCCAGGUGUAGCGGUGAAAUUGCAGUAGAGAUCUGGAGGAAUACCGGUGGCGAAGGCGGCCCCCUGACAAAGACUGACGCUCAGGUGCGAAAGCGUGGGAGCAAACA